rnacentral:misc_RNA from 1 species
GAUGAAGAACGCAGUGAAAUGCGAUAAUUAAUGUGAAUUGCAGAAUUCAGUGAAUCAUCGAGUCUUUGAACGCACAUUGCGCCCCCUGGUAUUCCGGGGGGCAUGCCUGUCCGAGCGUCAUUGCUGCCCUCAAGCACGGCUUGUGUGUUGGGCUUCCGUCCCUGGCAACGGGGACGGGCCCAAAAGGCAGUGGCGGCACCAUGUCUGGUCCUCGAGCGUAUGGGGCUUUGUCACCCGCUCCCGUAGGUCCAGCUGGCAGCUAGCCUCGCAACCAAUCUUUUUAACCAGGUUGACCUCGGAUCAGGUAGGGAUGCCCGCUGAACUUAAGCAUAUCGAUAAGCGGAGGA